ACCAAUGGAAUAAUUGGAUUCAAGUUAGCUUCCGGAACUUGUGGGAUCAAGCUAUUGAGCAUAUGGGUAUGGUGUAGAUUAAGUGGGUAUAUAAGCAUUGGAAUUGACUUGGGAGUAAUUGGAGGCUUGUUGGUGAUCAAGCUUGGUUUGGGGGAUAUUUUAAUUGAGCUUGGAGGGGCUGUAAUUUUGAGUUGUUAGGCUGCCUUGGGUGAACCAAGUGAUCGGCCAAGGUAUGGUUUAAGUUUCGCACGUUUAAUAUUUACGGUGUUGUGAAAACUUAGGUUAGAAGAAC